ACACUCUGUACAUGCUUGUUGAGUGAAUGAUUAAACUCUCACGGUUCAGUGUAACCAGGCGCAUGGCCUUUCUCUGCAUCGUGGAGAAAGUCACACCUUUUAGAGGCACAAAUCAGACGGACAUUCUCCAUGAUCAGAAGCUAUGACCCUAGGCCAAGACCAAGCAAAGAACCUAGAAGGGAAGAAAGAAAAAGUUUCCUUCCCCUCCAGUUUUGCUGCCCAGUGGGGGGCACUUCACGGGCUGGGCACGGCUCGUUCUGCUGCUGUGGCCACUGAGAAGUCCCAGGACCCCAGAUGAGAGCAGGCAGAAGACAUGCCUCUUUUAAAUACCUCACUGCCUGGACAAUAUAGGACUAACCUUGGGAAGCCGCCUGCCUCACUGCUCCUGAAAUGAGUCACAAUGUUCUCAGGACUGAGACUGGUUAAGAUUUCCUGUCAGCAGCUCGGUGGUCACAGCCACAGGUCCCACUCUGGAUCCACAGACCCGUCUGCCUCACAGUAUAUAAAUGCCAUUUUCUGUGUCAUCAGUUUUUUUGCUUACCUGACUUGGAAAUGGCUGGACUACAUACAUGAUUUUCAUGAGAUCCCUAAACCUAAUGGAGAACAGAGAGACUUCUAGAAAGAUCUGGAGCCUAAGAGUUGGCCCUACCUACCGUUGGGACAAGGCCCCUCAAAAGGAGAUAGCAGAACUGCCCCUGCCUUUUCUAAGAACUUCGUGGCUGGGGAAAUCCAUUCCUCGUUCUGCGUUUCAGUUCUUAAGCAACAGAAGAGGGACAAUGAACCACGGCACAGUAUUUUGUGAGGGCUAGCGAGCUGAUGUCUGUGACAGCCCUGGAAAGUCUGAAAGCUAGACAGAUGGGGGCUGCACUGGCAAAGCUAUUCUUUCUCACCCAAGGAAAGAGCCCUGGGGAAAAUCACAGUAAUCUGGAGCUGGACUGAGCUUGACAUUUAUAGUUCAAGUGAGGCAUUUUACACAUGAGAAAACAGGACGGGGAAGAGGGGGGUGCCUCGGCCGUCCCCACGCAGAGCAGACACCAGGGUCACCGCACUGGCUCCUCUCACUAGACCACGUGGAAGAUCACCCAGGAAGUCCAGGUGUGGGUCUGGUCCCACUGACAGACUUGCCAUGGGCAGUUCUCAAGGCACCUGUUGGUACUGACAGGUGCACACGCUCAGGUAACCGCCACGACUGAGGCAUAGAACCCUUCUGUCACUGCGUGAGAAUUCCCUCGUGCCCCUUGGCCGUCAGCCCCACUUUCCACCCCACUCCAGCAACAUCGCUCUGGGUUUUGCCCCUCUAUCAUUCUGCCUUUUUUCAGAUCAUCCUACAUCUUCAUCCAUCAUCAGAGCUCUUACAACAAAUAGACCAUAAACCGAGUAGUUUAAGCAGAACUGAAUUCGUUUGGUCCAGUUCAAGACAUGGAAGUACUAGGAGAUUCAGCCUCCCGGGAAAGCCUGCUUCCUGGUGCUUCUUGCAGAGUCCUUGCAUGACCCAAGGGGCAACGGCCCGAAUCCCCUGCAUGCCAACGCCUCCCCGCUGCAAAUGCCAUCACACUGGGGGUUCUGGUUUAACACAUAAAUUUUGGGGACACAAACUUGCCGUCUAUGGCAUCCUAUACAUGGAAAAUUGAGCGAGCGGCCUUCUGAAUCUGGAGUUGUCACUCGGCCGGAUGCACUGGACAUUCAUCAGUAACUGUCUCACGGAUCAGAGGGGGGCAUUUUAUAUUAGCAAAGUGUUCAUGCAUGGAAGCAUUACAGACUGUUUAACCACACACCAACUAAUGCACAUGCGGGCGAUUGCAAGUCUUUGACUAUCAAAAUAAGGCUGCUAUGAAAAGUCACCUACUCGCGCCUUCCCCUAUCCCUUCCUCCCCGGGAAAAUCCCUGAAAGUGAAAUCCUGCAUCGUCGGGCAAGUAUAUGCCUCCAGGCCCAGCAUGGAACCCAUC